rnacentral:rRNA from 1 species
AUUGAACGCUAGCGGCAGGCUUAAUACAUGCAAGUCGUGGGGCAGCAGGUCUGUAGCAAUACAGAUGCUGGCGACCGGCAAACGGGUGUGUAACACGUACGCAACCUUCCCGUUACUGGGGAAAAGCCCAGGGAAACUUGGAUUAAUACCCCAUAUUAUAUUGGUUAGGCAUCUGGCUGAUAUCAAAGCUUCGGCGGUAACGGAUGGGCGUGCGGUUGAUUAGGUAGUUGGCGGGGUAACGGCCCACCAAGCCUACGAUCAAUAGCUGAUGUGAGAGCAUGAUCAGCCACACGGGCACUGAGACACGGGCCCGACUCCUACGGGAGGCAGCAGUAAGGAAUAUUGGGCAAUGGACGAAAGUCUGACCCAGCCAUGCCGCGUGAAGGAUGAAGGUCCUCUGGAUUGUAAACUUCUUUUAUCUGGGGCGAAAAUCGGCUAUUCUUAGCCGCUUGACAGUACCAGAUGAAUAAGCACCGGCUAACUCCGUGCCAGCAGCCGCCGUAACAC